GCUGUCAGCUGUGAGCCGGAUGACGCACGUUGGGCCGCUGUUAAUAUUGCGCAGCAGCUUGAUUGAAAGAGAUGAUGGUGACUACCGCAGGAGGAAACUUGGGGUUAUCUCACUUGGCUCGUGUUACCAUAACACGAAACCGGAGACAGUCAUGCUAGAUAGGUGAGCCUGGGACUGAUCAUCAGCAGCAGCUUUGUUAAACCGGUCUUUGGCUUCACAUUAUCACCAGAUCAACAACUCACCUACAACAGGUCUCCCAUUACCCCAGAACCUUAAGGGCCCAAAUACAACAGAUGCAUGAUCGUUGCAGUUCCGGUCCGACUCCGGUAAAAAAUAGCUCCGGAGCUAAUCCGUUCCCAUUAUAUCCUAUUGUUCAACGUAUACCGGCCGCGUCAGUGCUCCGGAUUGCCUGCGGACAAUCUCCUCGCGGAUGGUAUAGGCUAUUUUCUAUUUUUGCCGGACACGCAUCCGACAAAAUGGGCAGAGCUGGGCCUGGACGUAACAGCCCAGUUGCUUAUUCACGGUUUAAACACCAGCAAACAUGGACGAAGAACGUUUCAUCAUGGAGGUGGAAAGUCACAAAGUGAUAUACGAUGCAGCAGAUCGUUAUUGUAAGGACAGCAUUAAUGGGAAGCUGCAAGGUGUCCUACUAUGUGUUUGUUCUGGCAAUGAUAUCAAACAUACGACGUGCUGACAACUUUGAGCGGGGAAAAAAAAAAGCAGCGUAUCUGAAAGUGGCUCCACUGCAGAAAUUCUCGUUCCCGGCGCACACACAAUGUCGGUUUGUAUACAGAGUCGAGGAGGAAAAGUACGAAAGAGAUUUAAGAGACACCCACAAGCUUUCUUUCCUACAUUUUACUUGACUUUUCAUAGUCAAACCCAACAGUUUGCGCUGGGCACGGGAAUCUGCAGUGUUGAGACACCCAUUCCAAGUACGCAGUUUUUUAGUUCAUGUAGUAUACAGUAUAAUUCGCUAUCCAUUUUAUAAA